rnacentral:tRNA from 1 species
UGGGGGUGAAGUAUAAAUUUACGUUUCAGUUACAUUGAAAAGAUCCGCUAUGCUGUGGUGCCCUUAU